ACGAAUUCGGUCCAAAGUUUAGGGAGGCGGAAAAUACUUUUUCCAUAUCGAAAACGUAAUUUAUGUUGCGGAAUGAACCAAAUUUCCGCGAAGCCCUUCGUCGGCCCGUAAAGCCCAGCCCAACAAGGUAACCACCUCUCUUGGAUUUCGGCCAUGGGAGAGCAGUUACCUGCAGUUGCAGUCGUCGGUCGUUCGUCACGGAGAAGACGGCAGACGGGGGUGGGGGUGUGCCUGCGUCUCAUUGUGUUCUCCGACUCCCUUGCGAAAACUGCGACGCCCUCGGUCGGAGAUGCCGGCACUCGCGAGUGCGGAUCCUCGGGCUGGGCAUGUGCGCGUGCGCGGACGUCAUCGUCGGCAACGAGCUGAGCCGCUGCGCGGCAUCUCUGGCGGCCAGAAGAAGUGCCUGCGCCUCGCCCCAGUAAUCCAUAUGUGCUAAUGAUGGGGUUAAAGGUCUCAAAAAAUUCGUCUCGCGGUUUCCAGGUGAGUUCUAAAAUUAGUUUUUUAAUUAGUGUCCGAAAAAUCUUCCCAACAUCUAGUCAAAUCUUAAAUGUGAUUCUUGAACCAAAAUUUUUCAUCAACUAAACACCCUUAUUUAUCAGAUGUCGAAGCAAGGGACAGCGAUAACGCAGAGUCGCAGAUACUCAGCAGAACCCGGGAGAAGACACGAGCACUGUCUGCAUCUUCUUGGAAGUGUAGGAAGCGCACUAUCAGCAGCCCGUCUAGCUCAGUCGGUAGAGCGCAAGGCUGUUAACCUUGUGGUCGUGGGUUUGAGCCCCACGGUGGGCGAUUUUUCUUUUGUUUUGUACUUUACAUUGUCCUUUCUAGAGGACUGUACAUUUUCUUUUGCAGAAGACACGAGCACUGUCUACAUGCUCUUGAAAGUACAUCAAGCAGUCGCUAUCAGCAGCCCGUCUAGCUCAGUCGGUAGAGCGCAAGGCUCUUAACCUUGUGGUCGUGGGUUCGAGCCCCACGGUGGGCGUUUUUCCUUUUGUUUUUUUGUACUUUCCAUUUUCCUUUUAGAGGACUGUCCAUUUUUCUUUUACAGAAGAAGAAAAGAGGAAUGACAGUAUCAACCCCAAAUGCC